rnacentral:lncRNA from 1 species
GGCCACACAACUGUUGAUGGGAAGAGGUGGGAUUUGAAUCCAGGCUGUGUGCUUCCAAACUCUGAAUUCUAAACUAGGAGAGACAGCUCACAUUUGCACUUCUGCUUUGUCCUCUUCAAUCCAAGAGACAGCGGUGAAAAUCCUAAAACCCUGAAGAACAGUAAUUGCAGUGAGACCCAAGUUCUCAGCUGGUUACAGAUACAGAUUCAGCUGCUGCAAGGAAA